CAGCACCUCAAGUGGUCAGGAUGAUUAUUGGGCCUAAAGCAUCCGUAGCCGGCUCUGUAAGUUUUCGGUUAAAUCUGUACGCUCAACGUACAGGCUGCCGGGAAUACUGCAGAGCUAGGGAGUGGGAGAGGUAGACGGUACUCGGUAGGAAGGGGUAAAAUCCUUUGAUCUAUUGAUGACCGCCUGUGGCGAAGGCGGUCUACCAGAACACGUCCGACGGUGAGGGAUGAAAGCUGGGGGAGCAAACCGGAUUAGAGACCCGAGUAGUCC
rnacentral:rRNA from 1 species